CCAGCUGCUCGUCGACUGUACUUCGUCCAAAUCCGGCCACUUCCGUCAGUCAUCAGCUUGUUGGAGAAGCCUUUGACGGCGAAGAUGUAGUAAGAAUCAAAUUUUCCAACACAAAACAGUGGUUUUGGAACUCACGCCACUGUUUCUAUAUAGGUUUCCGGCGAAAAACGGAGAAGAUGUUUUGAAGUUGUAUCUGGGUUUUCAGUGAUAUUGAUCUGGAUUUCAAAAAGUGGAGAAGAUGUAUACACGUAUAUGUAUGUAUAUGUAAACUUAUUAUUUGAGUAAUAUUUGUAAUAUUGGAAAAAGGAAAAAAUAGUAAUAUUUUAAUAGAUGAUAGGUAAAAUGGAUAGUGUUCGUGUAGUUGUGAAAGAUAAAAUUGAUAGCUAAAAUAGAAUUGUGAACUGUUCACGAGGCAAUAUACCUAACUACUGGUAAACUUGCUCUUAGUUGGGUGCUUAGCUUAGUUCAAGUACAGUCAAUGGUUCUGGGUGCUUAGCUAAGUUCAAGUAUAGUCAAUGGUUCAACUCUUGCUCAUCGCUAAUCUAUUACCUUUUAUCAUGAAUACGAGGUCUUUUAUUUUACAAGGUCCGGCCUCUUCCAAAUUGAAAUCCUGACUCCGACACAUUCAUGUUUCAAAUUUGAAAUUGAAGUAGCUUGGCAGCAUCUAGCCGUAUAACAAAUUUAAAACCUCAUUUACUGAUAAAUAUAAGCAAAAUAGUAGACUAUUGUAAGCAUAAGUUGCAUAUUAAACAGUUUGUUUAAUUUCUUAGUACAUGUAAUCUAAGAGAUUGUAUUAUGCAAUUUAGGGAAUACAGUCAGAAAAGUUAUCCGCGAUUUACGCUUGUAAUACAACCGCUCCAUGUGAAAAGAUUUGUUCAGUGUACCCAAAUCCCUCUUUUAUGCCCAAAACAAUGGUCAACUACGAUUCUCUUUAUUU